UAAAAGUUUUAUUCUUGCUUUGUCAUUCAGUUUUUGUUUGUUCUAUAUGUAAGUUUUUGUGUGAUUAUUGGUGUGGUUCUAGAUGGGCUUUGCUUAUUAUUUAUUAAUUCUCAUUAGUUUUUAUUGGUUGGUCAAGUAUCCUUGUAUUUAGCAAUAUAUUUUAGUUUCGGUUAAAUUUUGUGCCAGCAGCCGCGGUUAUACUUUGGAGGCAUUUGAAUGUGUUCGGCAUUGGUAGUUUUAUUAUUGAGUUUGUUUCAAUUUUUCUUGAAAAUUUCUAGGUGAAAUUUUUUUUUUCUUUAUUUUUCUUUAGCUUUUUGUAUUCUAUGAAAUUCUUUAUGUAAACUAGGAUUAGAUACCCUAUUAUUUUAGAAUGUUAAUUUUUUGUGCUUGAGUAGUAUUAGUUAUGUUCUUGAAACUUAAAGAAUUUGGCGGUAUCUCAUUCCGUUCAGAGGAAUCUGUCCCGUUAUCGAUAGUCCGCGUUGGACCUUACUUAGUUGCUUUGGUUUGUAUACCGCCGUUUAUUGAUUAUCUUUUUAGAGUUUUUAAUUUUCUGGUUUCUUUAUUUUGAUUUAUUUCAGGUCAAGGUGCAGCUUGUUUCUAAGUGGAAUUAGAUGGAUUACAUUGUUAUUGGUUUUUGGAUUGUUAUUUUGAAUGUUGACAUGAAAUUGGAUUUGGUUGUAAUAAUUUGUAGAUUGUUAUUGUGAUAUUUGGUUCUGGGAUAUGUACACAUCGCCCGUCGCUCUCGUUUAUUUUUAAUGAGAUAAGUCGUAACAAAGUGGUUGUACCGGAAGGUGCGGCUGGAUUGAU
rnacentral:ncRNA from 1 species